CCUUAUCUGAUACCUUAUGCCUCGAAAAAGCAACUUUAAAAAAGCACUCACGUCUAACAGUUAGACCAACGAAGACAAUUUGAACCAAAUGGAACAAAGGCAUGGUACAAUCACCGGCGAGAACAAGCAAAUGACUUGCGUUGAAAUAGGUUGAUAACUCAUUUUGCCACCUCUGCCUCUAACCCAGUGAAAUUGUUGAAAUUAAUGUCUAAGAAACAUCAAUUCCAAUCUCCAUGGAGCGAUUUCUACUGUGAUGCUAUCCUUUCGAUCACUUGGUUGCUAUUGAUAACAAUUUAGCCAGCCCAGCUUAUGUUACAGUGCUCGGAGACAUACAAAUAAUAAUACAAUUUGGACGAUAGCAAAUUCAAUGGAGAAUAAUUAGUAGGCACUACCCAGAACCUUUUAUUGCUCUUUUAGUCAUCUAUUUUUAUUAGAGGAUUUGCAUCUUGAAUAUUAAUACUCACAACUUAUUAGAAUACCCUCUCUUAAAGAUAGGUCAGAAAUACAUUAACCCCUCAAAUUGCCCACAAACCCUAAAGCCAAACUCUUACCUACGUUUGUCUAUCAACCUUCCUUGCGGGCAAUCGCCAUCAUCUGUUGCCUCCAGCCACCACCCGACCUCAGCGAGCAUUGCUGCCCUUGGGCUCUUUCUCUCCAUCGAUCACAGGCUUCUGUUGCCGUUGGCAACCCCCUCACGGCCUCCGGCUAAUUUCGUCAGUGGCAUAGCCAUCUCUCUCUCUCUCUCUCUCUCUCUCUACACCUCUCCGGUUAUGCACACAAGCUAUGUAGAAAAUAGGAACGAGUAACCUUUGAACAAGCGAAAAUGAAGUACUAAUCAAAACAAAUUAAGCAUGCACAAGUAUCAAAAUAUUUACAUUUCUUGCCGCUGGAAAUGAUAUGUCGUUGUCCAUACGCAGCCUGUUCGUAGAAUUUGAAUACAUAUUCUAACAUGUGCAAUAAAUAUAUGAAGUUACACACUUCACAACACUUUAACUUGAGACAGUAAGCAAAUGAUCAUGGAUUGCCUACUCCUGGUGAAAACGACCAUGGCUGAUAACACGUCACUUAAGUCCGGAGACGAAGGGUUUUACCUAGACACCUCUUCUUUUGCUUCAUCAGAAUUGAAGCAACUAGAGAAGAGGUACAAACAACAGGUUUUCCACACGGUAGAACAAAAACUAAUAAUGCUUAGAUAUGCUAGAACAGGUUUACAGAAUUGGUUUAUUAAGUAAUACAACAAACUUAUUUAGACAUAUGAACAUGCAGUUCACACUUAAAUAUCCAGCAAGAAUUUGCCAUUUUGCCUUUUAAACUAAUUUUAGUAUCUCUAGCAUUUUUUCAAAAGGAUACAGCAGUGAUGGUCAUAUGUUGAGUGAAAAAUAAUCUGAAUCACCACGACCAAGCAUAUUGAUAUCCGUCACCUAUCUGCAGAGGCCUGUCCUGUUGUAUCCUCUGUCCUUGUCAAAGAAGACAUGCUAUCGACCGAGAGAAGAGAAGAUCGAGCAGAGGUAUGGGAAGACGAGAGGGACAAGAAGCAAUCCGAGGACAACUCCUUCCAUGGGAAGUACACCUUGUGGUUGUUCGGGCAAGUCUCAGGGCAACUGCUGCCGUCUUUGACUUUGUGUAGGGCGCAACCACAGUACCGAUGGUAUGGGCGGCGCUCGACCUCCACGUCGUUCAGCGACAAGCUGCCAUAGAUGACACACCGGAGCAACACCAUGGAAGCUGCUACGGUGGCCAUCCCUCCCCUCUCUCUCUCUCUCUCUCUCUCCCCCUCCCUCUCCCUCUCCCUCCCUCCCUCCUUGGUGUGUCCAGGUAAGUAGUCGAGGGUGUGCUUGUGCUGGUGAAUUUACAGCGUGUGGUUGAUUAGGUGUUCAGUGUUGGGUUGGAAAAUUGUGCGGGCUUUAUGGGGUAGUAAGACAAGUCAUAGGAACGUGAAGUGUAGGGUUCUCUUUAGAGAGUUUAUCUUCUCGUUUGGAUGAA
rnacentral:lncRNA from 1 species